UAAUAUAUCGGAACGUACCCUGGAGUGGGGGAUAACGUAGCGAAAGUUACGCUAAUACCGCAUACGAUCUAAGGAUGAAAGUGGGGGAUUCGCAAGAACCUCAUGCUCCUGGAGCGGCCGAUAUCUGAUUAGCUAGUUGGUGGGGUAAAGGCCUACCAAGGCAUCGAUCAGUAGCUGGUCUGAGAGGACGACCGGCCACACUGGAACUGAGACACGGUCCAG
rnacentral:rRNA from 1 species